rnacentral:SRP_RNA from 1 species
UAUAAUAACCUAGCUACUACAAUGAUAUCUUGUGAAUCAGGUCAGGUCGGGAACGAAGCAGCCUUAAGCAAGCUCCAUCAUGUGUAGUAGUUUUUUUUAUAUUUU